rnacentral:misc_RNA from 1 species
CCUGAUAGCAGCCUCCAAGGCACUAUCCCAUCCGUGUCUACAUACUCUUGUUGCUUUGGCAGGCCGUGGCCUCCACUGCGGGCUCUGCUCGCACGUGCCUGCCAGAGGACCAAACUCUGAAUAUUAGUGAUGUCUGAGUACUAUAUAAUAGUAA